CAUGUGGGACAAGGUCGUUUACUAUCCAUACAUAAUUUUCAAACAAUGGAUUCGAGUCAAUUAUGUUAGUUCUUUUCCAAUUUAAUUAUAGAAGCUUUUAUAAUCUUCGGGUUUCGUGCUUUUGACCUUUCCCUUUGGCUAUUUGUAAUCAGUGAGUUCGUCCCCGAGACGGCCUCUUCCUCUUUUAACUUGAUAUGUCUUUCAGCUCGGUAAAGGGCAUCCUCAAGGGUGCUUGGUCGAUUUAGAAUGAGGUCGCUGUGAUAUCUGGAACUGAAUCAUAAGGAGAUCCUUAAGGCCAAUAUUCCAACUCACCUCUCAUGUUGACAACGAGACCGUCAUCUCGAAUAUUUUGAUAAAAGAACGUAAUGAUUCUUCCUUGGUUUGGAAUAUUGUCCAUAAGCUUUCCUCUGGAAUCAUCUUCGGUUGUGUU
rnacentral:lncRNA from 1 species